ACGCUGGCGGCGUGCCUAAUACAUGCAAGUCGAGCGAACGGACGAGAAGCUUGCUUCUCUGAUGUUAGCGGCGGACGGGUGAGUAACACGUGGAUAACCUACCUAUAAGACUGGGAUAACUUCGGGAAACCGGAGCUAAUACCGGAUAAUAUUUUGAACCGCAUGGUUCAAAAGUGAAAGACGGUCUUGCUGUCACUUAUAGAUGGAUCCGCGCUGCAUUAGCUAGUUGGUAAGGUAACGGCUUACCAAGGCAACGAUGCAUAGCCGACCUGAGAGGGUGAUCGGCCACACUGGAACUGAGACACGGUCCAGACUCCUACGGGAGGCAGCAGUAGGGAAUCUUCCGCAAUGGGCGAAAGCCUGACGGAGCAACGCCGCGUGAGUGAUGAAGGUCUUCGGAUCGUAAAACUCUGUUAUUAGGGAAGAACAUAUGUGUAAGUAACUGUGCACAUCUUGACGGUACCUAAUCAGAAAGCCACGGCUAACUACGUGCCAGCAGCCGCGGUAAUACGUAGGUGGCAAGCGUUAUCCGGAAUUAUUGGGCGUAAAGCGCGCGUAGGCGGUUUUUUAAGUCUGAUGUGAAAGCCCACGGCUCAACCGUGGAGGGUCAUUGGAAACUGGAAAACUUGAGUGCAGAAGAGGAAAGUGGAAUUCCAUGUGUAGCGGUGAAAUGCGCAGAGAUAUGGAGGAACACCAGUGGCGAAGGCGACUUUCUGGUCUGUAACUGACGCUGAUGUGCGAAAGCGUGGGGAUCAAACAGGAUUAGAUACCCUGGUAGUCCACGCCGUAAACGAUGAGUGCUAAGUGUUAGGGGGUUUCCGCCCCUUAGUGCUGCAGCUAACGCAUUAAGCACUCCGCCUGGGGAGUACGACCGCAAGGUUGAAACUCAAAGGAAUUGACGGGGACCCGCACAAGCGGUGGAGCAUGUGGUUUAAUUCGAAGCAACGCGAAGAACCUUACCAAAUCUUGACAUCCUUUGACAACUCUAGAGAUAGAGCUUUCCCCUUCGGGGGACAAAGUGACAGGUGGUGCAUGGUUGUCGUCAGCUCGUGUCGUGAGAUGUUGGGUUAAGUCCCGCAACGAGCGCAACCCUUAAGCUUAGUUGCCAUCAUUAAGUUGGGCACUCUAAGUUGACUGCCGGUGACAAACCGGAGGAAGGUGGGGAUGACGUCAAAUCAUCAUGCCCCUUAUGAUUUGGGCUACACACGUGCUACAAUGGACAAUACAAAGGGCAGCGAAACCGUGAGGUCAAGCAAAUCCCAUAAAGUUGUUCUCAGUUCGGAUUGUAGUCUGCAACUCGACUACAUGAAGCUGGAAUCGCUAGUAAUCGUAGAUCAGCAUGCUACGGUGAAUACGUUCCCGGGUCU
rnacentral:rRNA from 1 species